GGAAGUGGCAUUAAAUGAGCUCUCAGAGGCCUCCCAGCAGUGACCCAGAAUGAGGUUGUUAGGAAAAUCCACUACAUGAAGAUGUGCAGUCUCUGGCUGGGAGCAGGACACCAGCUGCCCAACAGCACAGGCUCAGGGCAUGGCACUGUCUCCACUGUCCCCAUCCCCAACCUGGAAGCUAGAGCCUCGCUGCCCUGCCACUUCUGGAUGCAGGACAGAGAACCGGAACUGGGACUGUGGUCUCUCAGUAGAGGCUGUGAACAGCCAUCUGUGGCCACACGGAUUGAGACCUUUCCUGCUCACUCUUCAAACUGGGGCACCGGCUGGGUGCCCAACAGAAAGACAAUUGGAAGAGUGGCAGGUAAACCAGGCUGUGGCCCUGCAGUGCCAUCACCGUCCUCAUUUGAAUUCUGGCUCGUCUGUUCCUCUACGGCCCCUCCGCAUGGCGCUGGAAGGAGCUGGGGCCAUACCAGAGUCAGAGCUGGACCGGGAGCACGGCAGGGCCCAGCCAUCCACAGCCUCCAAUUUCAGUACUCUCUAACAACCUGAGAGCCUGAGCCUUCGGAUCUUCUUGAUUCCUACUUUGAUAAAGAGAGGGAUGGGGUUGGAAGGACCUGGCAUAGAGAUUGGACCAGUCCGGCAUUGACAGAGCCAGGACCUGGGGUCCGGAACUGAGCUCAGCUCCAGGCUCAUCUGAAGUCACCCUGACAGCCUGAGGAUGGAGACCUUAUUUCCAUUAACAGGCAUGGCGGUUGGCAGGGACUGGCCCCAGCUGAGCACGGUUUUCCAAGUACACAGCUGGGAAUUAAGUCUUCUCUGCCGCCCUCCCCUGUAGUCUUGCCUGGAUCCCCCCAGUCAUCUACUCCCAGUACCAAAAACUC
rnacentral:lncRNA from 1 species